GCCAAUAUCAAUACUUGUCAAACGUCAUUAAUGCAAUUAUGCACUAUGCAAACUCUUUCUUCUUGGGAGCUAAAAGGCGUUGUUCCUUUUAGCUUUCUGAGAAAGCAAAUGGCUUCAAAGACAAUGGUCUUCCACAAUUUUCCUUAAUGCGUGCCACAUCAAAUUUUCACUUCUCAACAAUGGUGUUUGUAGUGGUGGAUAGGAAUUCUUGAUGGUGUUGCAAGGUCAUUCAAUGGUUAAUGUUGGAUUAGAAUUGGAUCACCUUUUCAACAAUUGUCACUGCCAUGUGGAUCGAAGUAGCUUUUAUCGCAAUAUAAACUUCGUUAAGUAGUGAUGAAUUCGAGUGGUGGCUCACAUCUUAUGGCGGUGGUAAAGAAUAUUGAGGUAGGAUUUAAGGGGUGGAAGUGAAGAAAUGGAGCUCUUGUUCUGUUGGAGGAGGACUGAGAUUGAAGAAGAAAGAGAUGAUUAUAGGGUGUGUUAAAAGAAUAUGUAAUUAAUAAAAAACAAAGCAAAUGAAUAAAUCAUCAUCAUACCCUAUGUAUCCCGCUCAUAGAAAGCUCGUACCCAUAAAGGAGAGUAGAGUGCGGUCAAAGAAAUGCAUUUUGUUUAAUUAAAAACUUUUUGAUAUUUUUCAUUUUAGUCCGUCCCACUUUAUUUGCAUCAUUACUAUUUUUAAAUUAUGGCCACUACUUACUUUUAAUAUCAUCCAUACAUUUUAAAUAUUUUUUAAUUUCAAUCACAUAAUUCAUUCUCUCUCUUCAAUUUUACCAUUAUCUAUCUUUUUUUUAAAAAUACAAUAACUUUCACUUUGCUUCAAAUUAUAUGGGACAGAGUAGUACCUAAUAUCCCAUUUAGAUUUUUUUAUAAUGGGCGAAGAUUCAAAGUCAUAUUUUAACCUAUAAUAUAUUAAAUUGCAGUUAUUGUACAUAAUUAAAUAUUAUAAAAAAUUAAUAUUAAUUAGUCUUGCAUUAGCAUGAGUCAAAUAAGAUUUCAUUCAAUUAUGAAGAUCAAAAUACAAUGUAAGAGUGAGUUGUAAGUAGACCUGGGAAAACGGUCGGUCGGUCGGGUUUUGGGUCGGAUCAAUUUCGGUCGGGUCAUUUUCGGGUCGGAUCAGUUUCGGAUCAGGUCAGUUUCAGGUCGGAUCACUCUGGGUUUCGGGUAGGUUCGGAUUGACCCAACGGGUUACCAUAAAACAUUAGAAUAUCCAAUCGACUAAUUCAACAUAAAAAAAAUCAUUAAAAUGUCUAACAAAAAUCAUUAGAGAAAUUACAUGUACGAUUUUCAAAAAAUAGUUGGUAUGUUAGGUUCAUUUAAGUGCAAGAAAAAUAGGGGAAUUAAUACUUAUUUUGAAAGACUUGUAAGAUACGCGCUUUAUAAAAGUUAUUUUGUUUAUUAUAAUUGUAACGUUAAAUAAAAAUGACGUUAAAAUUAUCUUCACAAUUUUCAUGUUGGAAAGAUAUACAACUAACUAAGUACUUAUUUCGUCUUAUAAGAUACGCGUUUUAUAAUUUAGGGUAGCGCCAUUCGUUUUUUGAAAAGCUCAUUCAAACGUGCGAAACGUUCGUAUAAAUUAUAUUGAUUUGCUUACUGAAAUGUAGAAGAAUUAAAAACUCAUUUGACUGAUUUAACAAGAUACAUGUAUUCAAUUAAGAUGAUUAUAACGUCCUGUUUUUAAAGAAAAAUAAUUACGAUGGCUAAAAAGACGUUAAAUACGUGUUUUUUGAGAUCUAUUGAUGAGUUUUAGGGUUCAAGUGAUAUACUCAAUAUGUUGAAAUACUUUGAAAAUUAAAAUUUUAUUUGAAAUGAAUUCUAACACUGAAAUUACUCUAAAAAUUGAUAUUAAAUCGGUCAAAACGGGUCGGUUUCCGGUUGGGUCAUUUUCGGUCGGGUAAUUAUCGGAUCGGUCAUGUUUCGGAUUAAGUCGCUUUCGGGUCAGUCGGGUUCGGGUUUUGUCGGGUCGGGUUCCGGGUUCAUUUUCGGGUCGGAUCAAAUUUUCCCAGGUCUAGUUGUAAGUAAUACUCAAAAUCAAAUGAGACAUUAUUACUAAAUUGGAUGGAUCAGUGGACUAUAAAAUAUUGAUGGAUUUAAUAAUUAAGGAAAAUGUUCAAUGAUUUUUUUUUUUCAAAUUAACAAAUUGUAUAGUCAUUUGAAAAACUUUUCCAUAUCGGCAAAUGAAGCUACUAAAAAAAAAAGAAUUGUGUAAAUUUAAUUGUUCUUAAAGGGCUCCUAAUUUAAAUUUUGCCUAAGGCUCCCGACAGUUAAAUAGAGACGAGCCUAUAAAGAGGUUGUUUUAUGCUAAUCAAGCUAAAUUUUCUCUUUUAAGCGAAUUACUAAUUAUUAUGGGUACAAUAAGCUUAUGUCGCAAUACCGAGUCUAUUCCCAUUAUAUUGCUCAAAAAAAAAAAAUUCCCACUUUGCAUUAUGUGGAAAAGUAUUUCCCACAAUA